UGGUUUUGUGAUUACUAUGGAGUUGUUGCUGGCCUCUAGGGGCAUGUGCACGCUUCACUAGUCUUUCAACCACCUGUGAACUUUUGAUAGAUCUGUGAAGUCGUCCUUCAAGUCGUCAGACUUGGUUUGCUGGGAUUUAAACGUCUCGGUGUGACAACGCAGUCUAUUUACUUAACACACCCCAAAUGUAUGUCUACGAAUGUCAUUUAAUGGGCCUUGUGCCUAUAAACCAUAAUACAACUUUCAACAACGGAUCUCUUGGCUCUCGCAUCGAUGAAGAACGCAGCGAAAUGCGAUAAGUAAUGUGAAUUGCAGAAUUCAGUGAAUCAUCGAAUCUUUGAACGCACCUUGCGCCCCUUGGUAUUCCGAGGGGCAUGCCUGUUUGAGUGUCAUUAAAUUCUCAAACUCACAUUUAUUUGUGAUGUUUGGAUUGUUGGGGGUUGCUGGCUGUAACAAGUCGGCUCCUCUUAAAUGCAUUAGCAGGACUUCUCAUUGCCUCUGCGCAUGAUGUGAUAAUUAUCACUCAUCAAUAGCACGCAUGAAUAGAGUCCAGCUCUCUAAUCGUCCGCAAGGACAAUUUGACAAUUUGACCUCAAAUCAGGUAGGACUACCCGCUGAACUUAAGCAUAUCAAUAAGCGGAGGAA
rnacentral:rRNA from 1 species